UUUGAUCCUGGCUCAGAGCGAACGCUGGCGGCAGGCUUAACACAUGCAAGUCGAGCGGGUGUAGCAAUACAUCAGCGGCAGACGGGUGAGUAACGCGUGGGAACGUACCUUUUGGUUCGGAACAACCCAGGGAAACUUGGGCUAAUACCGGAUAAGCCCUUACGGGGAAAGAUUUAUCGCCGAAAGAUCGGCCCGCGUCUGAUUAGCUAGUUGGUGAGGUAAUGGCUCACCAAGGCGACGAUCAGUAGCUGGUCUGAGAGGAUGAUCAGCCACAUUGGGACUGAGACACGGCCCAAACUCCUACGGGAGGCAGCAGUGGGGAAUAUUGGACAAUGGGGGCAACCCUGAUCCAGCCAUGCCGCGUGAGUGAUGAAGGCCCUAGGGUUGUAAAGCUCUUUUGUGCGGGAAGAUAAUGACGGUACCGCAAGAAUA
rnacentral:rRNA from 1 species